UAGAGUUUAAAGCAAUUGUUCAGGUACAUCCUGAAGUCCCGCGCCUGAAAGAAACUGGUCUCCCGGGAUGUGGGAAAGGGUUUGGGGGCAAGGGGGAUGCCCCAGGGGUCCUGAAUUUUUAUUUUGGAGAGGGAAUUUGGACCUUCUCACAAGCUGAAGGAACACAGAAAAACAGAAAUGCAAUUUUACAAAUGGGGCAGGGGCCCCCUUCAGUCACCAUAGCCAUGAGUCCCUCUCUCCCUCCUCCCUCCUUAAACCCAAACCCAGAACCCCAAAGCCUCAGAGCACCCCAGUAACUCCAAGUCCCCGUUCCGCUCCAGUCUAGGGGUCAAAGAUGACAGCCUCAGGUAGAGGAUGUCAAAGACCUCAGCGAGAGAGAGAGGGCCACAUGGCGGCGGGGGUGAGGGUCUGCGAAUCCCUCCCCCAACCCCAGGACUCUUGCAAACGCUCCUAGCUCCAGCAUUAACCCGGCCGGGGCAGAGGUGGGGGUUCAUGACAGUAGCGCCCCCUCUGGGAGAUGCCCCAAACUCGGAGAGCGCCCAGAGGCGGAGAGCAGGAGAGGAGGGCACGUGACCCCCACCCCGGGGACCAAUCAGCGCCCGCGGGAGGGGGCCACACUCGGCGCCCCCCACCCAUCCCGGCGCGCUUGGAGAUAGACGUUUUCUUUGUCCUUUUGUCAGCUCUUGGGGGCCCCCGAACCCCCAGGCCCCCACUGCAGCGGGGGGGAUCCGGACCGGCCGGCCCUCCCCUCCAACACCACUGCGACCCCUGCCCCGCGGCCUGGACCCGCGACUCGUCCUGUUCUGGGCUGGACAGGAGGCCGGAGAGGACUCGGGCGCCCAAGGUGGAAACUGAGACCCAGAGAGCCGUGACUUGACUGAUCCCACAGCCAGGAAAUGGUGGAGCCUGGAUUUGAACCCCAGCUUUUAAGAAGAAGGUGCCACUGUCCUGGAAGAACUCUCAGGACAGCAUUAGUGUCUCAGGGAUCCCCCUAAUCGGAGGGGCCUUAAGGCAACCUAAUCAUGAUUGUCACUGAAGAUCCAGGAGGGCUUCCUGGAGGAGGAGGCAGCUCCAUUCUGAAAUGCCAAGGGUACAGCUUUAUUGGGACAGCCAGUGUCUCUGAAUAUGUAGGUUUUGCACAGAGCUUGUACUGCCCCAGGGCCUGUACACUGCCUGUCCCCUCUGCCUUGUGCACUCUUUCCCUAGAUGUCCAAAUGGCUCCUUUCCUCACCUACCCCAAAUCUCAAUUCCAGUGUUUCCCCAGCCUCCCCUCAUUUCAGUAAUCACUCUGCAGUGAGCUAGGAUUGCGCCACUGCACUCCAGCUUGGAUAAGAGAACAAGACCCUGUCUCUUAAC
rnacentral:lncRNA from 1 species